rnacentral:tRNA from 1 species
GGACCCGUAGCUCAGCCAGGAUAGAGCGCUGGCCUUCUAAGUCAGUGGUCGGGGGUCCGAAUCCCCCCGGGUCCGCCA